ACUAGGAUAGUUUACAAAACAUUAGGUCGUGGCCCUAAAAACAGAGAACCCUCUUCCUAGUC
rnacentral:tRNA from 1 species